rnacentral:rRNA from 1 species
GAUGAACGCUGGCGGCGUGCCUAAUACAUGCAAGUCGAGCGAACGGACGAGAAUCUUGCUUCUCUGAUGUUAGCGGCGGACGGGUAAGUAACACGUGGAUAACCUACCUAUAAGACUGGGAUAACUUCGGGAAACCGGAGCUAAUACCGGAUAAUAUUUUGAACCGCAUGGUUCAAAAGUGAAAGACGGUCUUGCUGUCACUUAUAGAUGGAUCCGCGCUGCAUUAGCUAGUUGGUAAGGUAACGGCCUACCAAGGCAACGAUGCAUAGCCGACCUGAGAGGGUGAUCGGCCACACUGGAACUGAGACACGGUCCAGACUCCUACGGGAGGCAGCAGUAGGGAAUCUUCCGCAAUGGGCGAAAGCCUGACGGAGCAACGCCGCGUGAGUGAUGAAGGUCUUCGGAUCGUAAAACUCUGUUAUUAGGGAAGAACAUAUGUGUAAGUAACUGUGCACAUCUUGACGGUACCUAAUCAGAAAGCCACGGCUAACUACGUG